GCAUUUCCAGUGUCCUACUGGAAGCUACUAGUGGCUUCAAAAGUUGCUGGUCACCUCAUGGUCAUAAAUGGCUGCCGCUGCUCUGGGAAUCACACCCAGAGUCAAGAGAACACCACCACUAAUGGGAAGACUGCCCCCUGACCGGCACAUGGCCUCAGCAUUCAUCCACAGAUGCUCCUCAAAUUGUUUUAAAAACAGCUUUUUUUAAAAGCUGUUUGUCUAUGAAGAUUAAAUGAGUUAAUAAUAUAAGCAAAGCACUUUGCAUGGCUACUGGGCACGGUGGUUCAUGCCUGUAAUUCCAGCACUUUGGGAGGCCGAAGCAGGUGGAUCACCUGAGGUCAGGAGUUCAAGACCAGCCUGAUCAACAUGGCGAAACCCUGUCUCUAUUAAAAAUACAAAAAAAAUAGCCGGGCAUGGUGGCACGUGCCUGUAAUCCCAGCUACUUGGGAGGCUAAGGCAGGAGAAUCGCUUGAACCUGGGAGGCAGAGGUUGCAGUGAGCCGAGACCUCGCCGUUGCACUCCAGCCUGGUUGACAGAGCAAGACUCUGUCUCAAAAAACAAAAAAACCCCAGCUUUUGUCCAGAGGUUGCUUUUUGUGGGUCUGUACGCUGAGGCCAAGUUCUAUGUAAGCAGAGCCCUCCCACCUCACCUCCAAACAAUGCCUCUAAACCAUCACAAUCUGAAAGGAAAAUAAAUCCCUUUCUUCAAUGGUGACCUGAAGCUAGCCAAGGACCGGGUGCUGGCAGGUGGCCUGCGAGACUGGGUCGGAUCCCGGGUUACUGUCUGAGGAGGGAUGCCGUGCUGUAAGGGUUGGGGAGCCAGUGUCUGGCUUCCUUGUCACCACAAGACCUGUGGUUUCCAGCUCUGUCUGCAUCCAGGUCCCACUAACCAACAGCAGGAGAGAAAACAGUUGUGCACACAGGCGGACGCGCACACGCGCACCUGGCCCCCCAGACGUGCACAGCCCUCAGAGGAAGUGGAGCACCAGAUGUUCUGGGUUUCCUGUUCGACGCUUCCACAGCUGGUCGAGUCUGUGGUUGUGGUUUGUCUGUCUCGGGCUCAUGUGAGAGACAAAAGCUGGGCUGACGGGAAACCUCUUCUCUCGGCCCCCACUCCCCAGCUCUGACUGAUUAGGAAACCUGGCAGGUCAGAAAUUUCCUGAAACACCCAGAGCUGGAUUCUCCCAAGAAGAAGCUGAACCCCCAACUCCCAUCCCUGAGGAGCAGCCCCUGGGCUGAUGAUCAGGACUUACAGAACCUGGGGCGAUGGAAACCUCUACAAAUAUCCCAUUUAGAAAGACCGCCAGCCCUGCCAACAGAAUGAAACGGAGGCCAGGUUGCUAUGGUCUCUACUCCAAUGCCUGACAUUGAGCCGCUGCUGCAAAACACUCAGCACAUGAAGGAAUGAAUGAGGAACAGAGAACUUCACCUUUGGGGGUUGGGUGUACAAGCCCCAACUGGGCCCCAAGUCCCAUAAAUAGCUUUGGAUUCCAACAUACAAGCAUUUGACGCAGCGAGGUGCUGCCGACUUGCUCUGUGACUUGGAGCAAGUCAUUUAGCCUCUCUGGGCCUGGUGUCCUCAUCUGCAGAAUGGAGAUGAUAAUAUCUACUUCACAAAGGUGUGAAGGCCCUGUGAGACACCGCAUGUGGAUUUCCUCGACAUUGUUUGCCCAUCGUAACUGCUCCAGAGAGGCUGGGCUCCCUUUUCUCGUUGCAACACUGCUGUUUAUUUCAGGAGAUACUCUAAAAGGGAAGCAAGCUAAAACAAAGAACAACCAAAAACACUGAUCCCGGGACAACUGCCCGGCAGGACAGCAGAGCAAGGGUACUUGGUGCUCUUCGUUGGGGGGAUGUUGGGAGAAGGGGCUGGAGCCAUCCCAGGGUCUCCAGGCUCUGGAAGGGAGCACCCCAUGUCCUCCUCUGGGUGUGGAAUAGGGUGAGUGUCUUAGGGGUGGAGAGAGAACAGGCAGAGUGUGCUCUCACCCCUUAGCUCUGUAGUGAUUUUAAUGAUUAAGGCUACUGUUCGGUCUGCAUUUGGACCUGAGCAACAGGGACCCCUGCCCAGAGGUCCAUCCUUCAGCAGCGUGCACUGCAUCCCCCUCCACUGCAGCUGACUCUAUGAGAUGAAGCAUCUGUCGCUCAGUGUAGCCAUCAGGUCCACUGCCCCUGAAAUAUGACUGACUAGGUUCAAAUGUUGACUCUGACACUUAGAAGCUGUGCCACCUUGGGGCAAGUUACUUCAUCUCUCUGUGCCUUACUUUCUUCCUUUAUAAAAUGGGUAAAAUAAUAACCACACCAUCGGUUGUCUAUGAAGAUUAAAUGAGUUGAUAAUAUAUGCAAAGCACUUAGCAUGGCUACUGGCACAAGGGUCAGUAAACGUUAACUGUUCCACACAUGAAUGUGUUUGAUUCUUAUAAUGCCCCAUGGGUAGAUUCUGUUAUUAGCUCUGUUUUACACAUGAGAAAACUUAGGCACAGGAGGUAAAGUAACAUUUGCAAGGUCACACCGUUAAGUAGCAAGGCUGAGGCUUUACUCCAGUUCUUUUUUUUUUUUUUUUUUUUGAGGCAUCUCACCAGGCUGGAGUGCAGUGGCACAAUCUCAGCUCACUGCAACCUCUGCCUCCCGGGCUCAAGCAAUUCUCCUGCCUCAGCCUCCCGAGUAGCUGGGAUUACAGGUGUGCACCACCAUGCCCGGCUAAUUUUUGUAUUUUUAGUAGAUACGGAGUUUCGUCAUGUUGGCCAGGCUGGUCUCGAACUCCUGACCUCAGG
rnacentral:lncRNA from 10 species